rnacentral:rRNA from 1 species
UACAGAGGUCUCAACCGUUGUUCGGAUUCAUUGGGCGUAAAGGGUGCGUAGGCGGUCGCGUAAGUCAGGUGUGAAAUCCCGGGGCUCAACCCCGGAACUGCACUUGAUACUGCGUGGCUAGGGUACUGGAGAGGAGACUGGAAUUUACGGUGUAGCAGUGAAAUGCGUAGAUAUCGUAAGGAAGACCAGUGGCGAAGGCGAGUCUCUGGACAGUUACUGACACUGAGGCACGAAGGCCAGGGGAGCAAACGGG